GACAGAGGGUGCAAACGUUGUUCGGAAUUACUGGGCGUAAAGCGUGUGUAGGUGGCUGCGAAAAGUCGGAUGUGAAAGCCCUGGGCUCAACUCAGGAAGUGCACCCGAUACUGCGUAGCUCGAGUACCGGAGAGGUUGGUAGAAUUCUCGGUGUAGAGGUGAAAUUCGUAGAUAUCGAGAGGAAUACCUGUGGCGAAGGCGGCCAACUGGACGAGUACUGACACUGAGACACGAAAGCGUGGGGAGCAAACAGG
rnacentral:rRNA from 1 species